UUCCUGAUGAUGUGAAUGAGUACGUCCAA
rnacentral:sRNA from 1 species